UGAGGAAUAUUGGUCAAUGGGCGAGAGCCUGAACCAGCCAAGUAGCGUGCAGGAUGACGGCCCUAUGGGUUGUAAACUGCUUUUCUGUGGGGAUAAAGUGCGUGGCGUGUCAUGCAUUGCAGGUACCACAUGAAUAAGGACCGGCUAAUUCCGUGCCAGCAGCCGCGGUAAUACGGAAGGUCCGGGCGUUAUCCGGAUUUAUUGGGUUUAAAGGGAGCGUAGGCUGUCUAUUAAGCGUGUUGUGAAAUUUACCGGCUCAACCGGUGGCUUGCAGCGCGAACUGGUCGACUUGAGUAUGCAGGAAGUAGGCGGAAUUCAUGGUGUAGCGGUGAAAUGCUUAGAUAUCAUGACGAACUCCGAUUGCGCAGGCAGCUUACUGUAGCAUAACUGACGCUGAUGCUCGAAAGUGCGGGUAUCAAACAGG
rnacentral:rRNA from 1 species